AAUAUAUUGUUAUGUAAAAUCCAGACACACGUUCGUGUAUACUUAUGCGUGAAUCAGUUCUUCUUCGACAGGUUUCUGUGUUGUGUACCUGAAUCUAAUGUAUUAAUCAAUGUAUAUCAAUUUAAAAUCUCGAAUAGGUUUCAGAUUUUAGAAACGUAUAAAUAUAACGAAAGUGUGGAUAUCAACAGGGAGUGGGAAAAUGUCAGAAACUGGAUCAAAAUUUCAGCCAAAGAGAAACUAGAAUACUUUGGAGAAUGUAAAAUAAACCAUGGUUUUAUGAAGAGCGUUCAAAAUUAAUAGAUCGAAGAUGGCAAACAAAAUUUCAGUGGUUGCAUGACCCAAAGAAAACCAAUAAGGAUAACUCUUUCAGCCCCAGAGGUUUCGUGGCGUAACCACAGUUUCGAAAAUCAAUUUAUCAGUACCCUGCGAUUUCUUCACGAAACCCACUGGAACAUAGAGCUGCCAUCUUGUAUCCAUCCACGGUACUCAGUACCUUUGAAGGCAUGCUUCAGCCAUGUGAAAAAGCAUUGCCACUACAUAGUUGGUUGUGUUGGAACCUGUAAGCUUUUGAUUUUGUGUCAGUGCUAUUUGGAAUAAUUAGGAACGGAUGUAGUAGGCUCUCAAUAUAAUUAUAAUGCCUGCCUAAACUAAACAUAUCGUGAAAUGUCAGCAACGGAGGACGUGGAACGUUACAUAACUCAAAUAUGGUCAGAGAAUUCGCAGAAGAUGGAAACACGACAACUGUUGUCAGUGCCCACACAGGCAAAAGAAAAUUAAAAUGUACGAGGUUGCGUAGUCUAAGAGGUAAGAAUAACACCAGAGAUUCUGCAGACAGACGGCAGAUGGAGAGACACGAUCAGCAACAUAUGCGUCGUGCAAAGUAGGCAAAUAAGAGAAUUUUCUACUUUUAGUGUGAGCAGUGCGCUAAGACAUAGUCCUUCAGCGAGGUGCGUCAUCGCUGCAAAUGACGGAUUAAUAAACUGCUUACGCCGACUGGGGCGAAUGCACAAAGCAAGAAUUGCAGCGUGAAACUGAAUCCUGUCAUCUGUGUGGAAAGAAAAUAAUUAAGUCCGAGUUAGUAGAAUUAAGAAAACAUUGGCUCUAUGAGGGAAGAUACAUUCGACGAUAACAAAUCGAGGAAAAGAGUGGGAGGAAUAGGACAAAGGGGGGUAAGAAUUGAAGAGGGAACGACGAAAUAACCCGCUAUGCUCCACAUACAAUGGCUAGUUCUUCUGUCAACAAUCUUGAAGUGACACGUGGGCUAGUGCGCAGUUUUACUCAGGCAGCAAUUUUUACUAACUUAAUAUUUGAAACUGUUUGGUGCAAAUAAGUUACAGAUUAUUAGUAAGACAUUUUCUUGUUGUUAUUGUAUUAUUAUUAUAUAUUGGAAUAACAUGUUAAUUAUUUACAGAUUUGUAUUCCUUAAAUUUGCAUGCGAAAGUUAUUAUUUUCGGAACAAAUGAAAAUAAUUAAAUGACAUUUUUAGGUCCUUGGAGACCAUCUUCUGACUUCUCGCAUACGAAAACGUAUAUCGAUGUUAUUCAAUUUAAUUUAAUAGUGAUAGUUUAAAACUGAGUGGGUGUGAACUAUUUUGUCGUGAUUCUUUAAAACAUGAUUACGUAAAAGCUAAUAUAAAAUCUUUGAUAAUACUUUAAAUACAGUUUUUUAAAGCUCAAAGAAGUAUUUUCAGUCUUUGUUUAAUGUAAUUCUGUCACACAUGAAAAGGAGUAGCAUAUGAAUUUUCACUUACAUCAGAUGGUAAAUUUUAGGUGAAGUUAAUUAUCAGAAUUGAGCACGGAGUAGAAGCUUAAUAUCAGAGAGGAACAUGUGUUGCCCUUGUGUUGAGAGAACAAGUUGUCAGCCUGUCUGCAUGGCUCAAAACUUUAUUUUUUACAAAAAAGAGCAUUAAAAUAAAUAAAUAAAAAACGACAAAACAAUUAUUUACACAAAUUUAAUAAAAUAUCCAAUUAUAAUAAAUAUUUCAAACACACAAAAAAGAAAAUUUAGAACGGAUGUAACCUGCAUAGUAAACGAAGAAAUUCACAA